CGCCAGCGAAAGCGGCCGCAGGCGAACUGAGAGACCGCGUGCGAAAUUCAAAUUCAAAUUCGUGCCGCCAUUUGGCCAUAAACGUUUCGGGGUUCGUGGAAGGACAAUAAAAGGAGCAGCGGCGGGGUGGGAAAGUUGGAACUCUACCCAUUUGUGUGAUUUAUGGCAUGGCGCACUACUUUCCGCUGGCGGCUAACAACAACAGCAACGAUUACGAGCGGUCCCUGGAAUAUCCUAGCCGCUCUGGAAAUGCCAGCGAUCCCAGCGCCGUCUCAUUAGUGCUGUCUCUUUUGCGCCGGAGCAGGGGCGCAUGCGCGAAAAGGCAAAAACAACGGGGUGGUGUACAAGGCAUUGGGUGGAACUUGAAUCGAGUCCUGGUUCAGCCAUGCUGGGAAAUUCUGAAGGAUAUUUAAAGAGCAGUAUUCGGGAAAUUUGGGUACCUUUAACUUGGCUGUUCGUAGAAAUUUCUUUACACGGCUGAAGGUUAAUAUGUGUACUCACAGCAUACGAGGAUAGGAAACGUCGAAAUAUAACAUAGUCUAUAUUGAUUAUAUUUGUGUAUAUAUAUUGAUGUGUUUAAUAUGUGUCUGGAUCUCGAUCAAUUAGUUCCUAUGGCAGAUGAUUUAAGGAUUAAAUGUGGUCAAAGGCCGUUUGAUGUGCAAAAUUUCACUUGUUGUAUAAGCACCGAACCAUUCGAAAACUUUCUGCUGCCCAAACGCAUUUAAUUUUCAUAUUUCCAGCCUGAUUCCUGAUCAGCCCCGGGCCAAGUUUCCCCCUAAAACCCAUCGAGGUUAACCCGGCUUUACUCUGCGAGAUGAUUGAUGACGACGCUGUCUGUCUGGCGAAGAAAUUCCCCCGAAGAGCGACGAAACUAUGGCCACAGUUUCUGGAAAAUUAAAUCACAUCUUAAAUCGUUUCGGUGACUUCUGCUGAAAUGAGGCCGUUCCCAUGGGAGGACAACUGCAUCUGUCGUCCGAACUUGGACCCCCGCACUCUCACUCGUACUGCCCAUCUGCCGGAAUCCUCGUCGCUGAGUGCACAUUCGAAUCAGAUAAUUGUAAAUUGUGUAAAAUAAUAAAUUUCCAGUUAACUAUCAACGGACCGCAU
ensembl:ncRNA lncRNA:CR45593 long non-coding RNA:CR45593